AGGGCAUAGCUUCCUCCUAGGAUGCUGGUAAGGUAGAGGAGAAAGGUUUCAUACCUGCUAUCGCGGAAACAUCAUGGAGCCCCCUGAUAUCAAUAACUAUUAUUUAUAGAGCACUCACUACUGUGAUAAGCUUAUUCAUUUAUGGUGUAACUUUCAUAUUAAAAUUUCCCCUAAUAUAUUUUC
rnacentral:sRNA from 1 species